GAUUGUUUGAUCCUGGCUCAGGAUAAACGCUGGCGGCGUGCCUAAUACAUGCAAGUCGAACGAACUUAUAAUAAGCUUGCUUAGAGUAAGUUAGUGGCGAACGGGUGAGUAAUACAUAAGCAACCUGCCCAUAAGGACUGGGAUAACGUUUGGAAACGAACGCUAAUACCGGAUAGGUAGAGAGGAGGCAUCUUCUUUCUAUUAAAGGUUAGAAACACAAAUGGAUGGGCUUAUGGUGUAUUAGCUAGAUGGUGAGGUAACGGCUCACCAUGGCGAUGAUACAUAGCCGACCUGAGAGGGUGAUCGGCCACAUUGGGACUGAGACACGGCCCAAACUCCUACGGGAGGCAGCAGUAGGGAAUUUUCGGCAAUGGGCGAAAGCCCUGACCGGCAACGCCGCGUGAGUUAGACGGCCUUCGGGUUGUAAAGCUCUGUUGUAAAGGGAGACGCUGGGGUAGGAAUCUCGGGGUGACGGUACUUU
rnacentral:rRNA from 1 species